GUUAAUGUAGCUUAUAGCAAAGCAAGGCACUGAAAAUGCCUAGAUGAGUAUCUUACUCCAUAAACA
rnacentral:tRNA from 1 species